rnacentral:rRNA from 1 species
UUAAGGUGGUUAUUGCGGCGGGGCUCACCUCUUCCCAUCCCGAACAGAGAAGUUAAGCCCGCCUGCGCAGAUGGUACUGCAGUUUUGUGGGAGAGUAUGUCGUCGCCUUUCUUUUAAGAA